ACCAGGCGCGGUGGCGCGUGCCUGUAGUCCCAGCUACUCAGGAGGCUGAGGUGGGAGGAUUGCUAGAGCCCAGGAGUUCUGGGCUAUAGUGCGCUAUGCUGAUCGGGUGUCCGCACUAAGUUCGGCAUCAAUAUGGUCACCUCCCGGGAGUGGGGGACCACCAGGUUGCCUAAGCAGGGGUGAACCGGCCCAGAAAUGGAGGUCAGAAAUGGAGCAGGUCAAAACUAUAUAUCAUUCUCCACCCCCCACUUGAAUGUUGGCUGGUCCUGUGAAUAUUAUGGAAUAUCAUUCCUGU
rnacentral:SRP_RNA from 1 species